UACACUCCUACGGGAGGCAGCAGUGGGGAAUUUUGGACAAUGGGCGAAAGCCUGAUCCAGCAAUGCCGCGUGAGUGAAGAAGGCCUUCGGGUUGUAAAGCUCUUUUGUCAGGGAAGAAACGGUGAAAGCUAAUAUCUUUUGCUAAUGACGGUACCUGAAGAAUAAGCACCGGCUAACUACGUGCCAGCAGCCGCGGUAAUACGUAGGGUGCAAGCGUUAAUCGGAAUUACUGGGCGUAAAGCGUGCGCAGGCGGUUUUGUAAGUCUGAUGUGAAAUCCCCGGGCUCAACCUGGGAAUUGCAUUGGAGACUGCAAGGCUAGAAUCUGGCAGAGGGGGGUAGAAUUCCACGUGUAGCAGUGAAAUGCGUAGAUAUGUGGAGGAACACCGAUGGCGAAGGCAGCCCCCUGGGUCAAGAUUGACGCUCAUGCACGAAAGCGUGGGGAGCAAACAGGAUUAGAUACCCCAGUAGUCCCAUGAU
rnacentral:rRNA from 1 species